ACAACUAUCAACAACGGAUCUCUUGGCAUCCCACUCGAUGAAGAACGCAGCGAAUUGCGAUAAGUAAUGUGAAUUGCAGAAUUCAGUGAAUCAUCGAAUCUUUGAACGCACCUUGCGCCCUCUGGUAUUCCGGAGAGCAUGCCCGGUUGAGUAUUAUGAUCAUCUCAAACC
rnacentral:rRNA from 1 species